ensembl:lncRNA
CAAAGAUGUCAAGGGUGAAGACUGAAUAAUAUAUUUUCCUUUGUGAUCUAGUUUUAUGGUACUCAUAGACAAAAGGAAUUUAAAUAGCCCAACGUUCGGGUAUUAAAUGAGGAAACAUACCUUUUAAAAGAUGUUAUUUUAUGAUGUGCAAAACCUUCAAUUAUUUCUGCUGAUGUCUAAACUUCAUUCAGAAUGGGAUAUUUGAGACACAAUUUUAGGGUGUCAUUACUGGCAGUUCUCGAAGAGGUCUUUAUUCCUGUUUUACAGCGAAGGAAAUGGGGGCUCAGAGAGGUUUAGCAACUGGCUAAGGGGACACAGUCAGGAAACGGCAGCUUUGGGGCUGUCUUAUUGUUUAUAAGGGAUUUGUGGCUCUUUCCUGGGGCUUUUGUACGGCACAGAAGACAUACAGGUGCUCACACAAUGACAAACCACUGGGAUAAGUACAGAGACAGAGGGAAGGAACAGUACCAUGGGAGCCUGAGGGAAGAGGGAACCGACUGUGGACAGUUUGCCACAUGGACCAGGGCAGGAAAGGCACGGGGAAUGGCAUGUGCCAGAGAAUGCCCCCAGCUGCACUUCAAAUCCCAUCCUGAACUUGGACAAGCAAGAGCUGUCAUCUUGUGGGCACCACAUGAUUUCCUUAAAGACAACUGGCCUGGACCUAUAAGUUGCUUUUAAAUUUUUUAUCUUCUAGAUAGUGCUGGCGUGAUCAUUUUCAUACACCCAUUCGUAGCAUGUGCAAAAUACCUACGGCUUGCUGAGCACUGUGUUGACUGAACACCCCAGGCUAAGGCCCUGCGGGGCUGGAAGGGGGAAAACAACUCUAUUUCACUUCUGAAAAUGGCUGCGCAGGAGGGAACUGAAAGAGGAGGCCGUGCCUGUGCCAGGGUGUUACAUUUGUGCCCAUCCCUGACUUGCCCGCCCCUCCAAUGUGCCUGCCACUGUGCCGUGUACACUCUGCCAUUCUGGAAGUAUGUAUUAUGCUUCAGAGACAUCAGAGAGCCCAGGGCAGGCUGAUUCUACUUUUCUACAACCAGGGAGCUAAAGACUGCAUCUAGUUAGGGGUAGCGAGCCUGGAAUAUCAGCUGGAAAAAGCAAUGGAGAUUCUUGGCGUUGUCCCUAUCAGAGCUUCCUGAAGCCCUUCAAAGGAGCAGCGUGCUGGGUGGACGGUACUAUAUCCAUGACCUCAUCUCCUUUGCUGUCCUCCUUUUUCUGGUCAAAUCAAACAAAAACAAAACAUUUGCCAACAUUAUAUUUAGGGGCUGUUGUAUAUUAAGAGGAGCAAUUGUGAGGAAAUCUAAAAUUAGCCCAACAUUAAUCAGGACCUGUCACCAAAGUAGAUGACUUGGUUUCCAAUUCCACAUGUCAUGCUCUUAGAGACAGAGCUUAGUGACACUGAGGAAGCCCAGUGCUGGGACACUGUGUGACUGCUGGCCGUGGUAUAAUGUGCGCUUGCUGCAGAGUCGGGCGGGCCUGGGUUUGACUCCUGGCUCUGACCUUUGCUAGCUUCGGAUCCAAGAAGUGCCUUCUUAACCUCUUUAACCUCAGUUUCUCCAUGUGAAAGGAGAGGCUGAAAGCACCCACAGCAUUGUUGUGACAGUUAGAUAAGAUAAUAUGUGUAAAGGUUGACCAUGUAGAGUUCCUGGUGCAAUGGUCCUUUGAAAACGCUGUUUUCCCUCCCCCGGCAAGGCUGUAGCUUCUGAAACGAACUCAGAGUAGCAGCCAGGGCAGUCCUGAAAAGAACCGUCUCUGCUUGGGAACCAUCAAUCACCUCUCCGUUUUCAAAGUGCCGCAGACUCUCGGAGAGAGAAAAGACCUUCCG